UUAGCUAUGGCGAUACAUAUACUAAAAUUGGAACGAUACAGAGAAGAUUAGCAUAGCCCCUGUGCAAGGAUGACACGCAAAUACGCGAAGCGUUCCACAUUAAU